rnacentral:rRNA from 1 species
AUUGAACGCUGGCGGCGUGCCUAAUACAUGCAAGUCGAGCGCAGGAAACUGACGGAACUCUUCGGAGGGAAGGCAGUGGAAUGAGCGGCGGACGGGUGAGUAACACGUAAGGAACCUGCCUCAAGGAUUGGGAUAACUCCGAGAAAUCGGAGCUAAUACCGGAUAGUUCAACGGACCGCAUGGUCCGCUGAUGAAAGGCGCUUCGGCGUCACCUUGAGAUGGCCUUGCGGUGCAUUAGCUAGUUGGUGGGGUAACGGCCCACCAAGGCGACGAUGCAUAGCCGACCUGAGAGUGUGAUCGGCCACACUGGGACUGAGACACGGCCCAGACUCCGACGGGAGGCAGCAGUAGGGAAUCGUCCACAAUGGACGAAAGUCUGAUGGAGCAACGCCGCGUGAGUGAUGAAGGCCUUCGGGUCGUAAAGCUCUGUUGUCAGGGAAGAACAAGUACCGGAGUAACUGCCGGUACCUUGACGGUACCUGACCAGAAAGCCACGGCUAGCUACGUGCCAGCCGCCGCGGUAACAC